CGUCUGUGAGCUCUUGGACAAUACCAUCUUUUCCUUUGACAUUGCGUUUUGUUGUUUUUGUCUUACGAAUGUCACCAGUUUCUGUUUUUGUCUCCGUGAUUACGACUGUUUCUGGAGUGUCUUCAACAGAGUCUGCAAAAUCCGGCCGAGGUGUCUCCUCUAAUGGGGUUGUUGUUUCGUGUACGGUAGUGUUUGUGGUGUCAGGUGUCGAGAUAUGUUUAGUUUUCUUAGUGCGCUUUUUGACGGUUUUAGUGAUGACCUUACCUUCGGGUGUUUCAACGAUUUCUUCAACAAUUGGCUCCUCAGUAAGUUCGACGUCUUCUUUUGGGCUUUCUGUAACCUGUUCCUCUGUGAGCUCUUGGACAACACCAUCUUUUCCUUUAACCUUGCGUUUUGUUGUUUUUGUCUUACGAAUGUCACCAGUUUCUGUUUUUGUUUCCGUGAUUACGACUGUAUCUGGAGUGUCUUCAACAGCGUCUGCAAAAUCCAGCCGAGGUGUCUCCUCUAAUGGGGUUGUUGUUUCGUCUCUUAUGUGUUCUAUUUCGUGUACGGUAGUGUCAGUGGUGUCAGGUAUCGAGAUAUGUUUAGUUUUCUUAGUGCGCUUUUUGACAGUUUUAGUGAUGAACUUACCUUCGGGAGUCUCAAUGAUUUCUUCAACAUCUGGUUCCUCAGUUAUUUCAACGUCUUCUUGUGGGCCUUCUGUUACCUCCACCUUUGUGACUUCCUGGACGAUGCCAUCUUUUCCUUUGACCUUGCGUUUUGUUGUUUUUGUCUUUCGAAUCUUACCAGUUUCUGUUUUUGUCUCCGUGACUUCCACUGUUUCAGGCGUGUCUUCAACAAUAUCGGCAAAGUCCAGCUGAGGUUUUUCCUCUAAUGGGGUGGUUUUUUCGUCUUUUAUUGGUUCAAUUUCAUGCACAGUAGUGUCAGUCGUGUCAGGUGUCGUGAUAGAUUUAGUUUUCUUUGUGCGUUUUUUGACAGUUUUAGUGAUGAUCUUACCUUCGGGUGUCUCAACAAUUUCUUCAACAACUGGUUCCUCAGUUAUUUCAACGUCUUCUUGUGGGCCUUCUGUUACCUCCACCUCUGUGACCUCCUGGACGACGCCAUCUUUUCCUUUGACCUUGCGUUUUGUUGUUUUUGUCUUUCGAAUCUCACCAGUUUCUGUUUUUGUCUCCGUGACUUCCACUGUUUCAGGCGUGUCUUCAACAACGUCUGCAAUGUCCAGCUGAGGUGUCUCUUCUAAUGGGGUGGUUGUUUCGUCUUUUAUUGGUUCCAUUUCAUGUACAUUAGUGUCAGUCGUGUCAGGUGUCGUGAUAGAUUUAGUUUUCUUAGUUCGUUUUUUGAAAGUUUUAGUAAUGAUCUUACCUUCGGGUGUCUCAACAAUUUCUUCAACAACUGGUUCCUCAGUUAUUUCAACGUCUUCUUGUGGGCCUUCUGUUACCUCCACCUCUGUGACCUCCUGGACGACGCCAUCUUUUCCUUUGACCUUGCGUUUUGUUGUUUUUGUCUUUCGAAUCUCACCAGUUUCUGUUUUUGUCUCCGUGACUUCCACUGUUUCAGGCGUGUCUUCAACAACGUCAGCAAUGUCCAGCUGAGGUGUCUCUUCUAAUGGGGUGGUUGUUUCGUCUUUUAUUGGUUCAAUUUCAUGCACAGUUGUGUCAGUCGUGUCAGGUGUAGUGAUAGAUUUAGUUUUCUUAGUGCGCUUUUUGACAGUUUUAGUGAUGAUCUUACCUUCGGGUGUUUCAACGAUUUCUUCAACAACUGGUUCCUCAGUUAUUUCGACAAUGCCUUGUGGGCCUUCUGUUACCUCCACCUCUGUGACCUCCUGGACGACGCCAUCUUUUCCUUUGACCUUGCGCUUUGUUGUUUUUGUCUUUCGAAUCUCACCAGUUUCUGUUCGUGUCUCCGUGAUUUCAACUGUUUCUGGCGUGUCUGCAACAACGUCUGCAAAGUCUAGCUGAGAUGUGUCCUCUAAUGGGUUGGUUGUUUCGUCUUUUGUUUGCUCAAUUUCGUGUACGGUAGUGUCAGUGGUGUCAGGUAUCGAGAUAUGUUUAGUUUUUUUGGUGCGCUUUUUGACAGUUUUAGUGAUGAUCUUACCUUCGGGCGUCUCAACAAUUUCUUCAACAACUGGUUCCUCAGUUAUUUCAACGUCUACUUGUGGGCCUUCUGUUACCUCCACCUUUGUGACUUCCUGGACGACGCCAUCUUUUCCUUUGACCUUGCGUUUUGUUGUUUUUGUCUUUUGAAUCUCACCAGUUUCUGUUUUUGUCUCCUUGAUUUCGACGGUUUCUGGCGUGUCUUCAACAACGUCUGCAAUGUCCAGCUGAGGUGUAUCUUCUAAUGGGGUGGUUGUUUCGUCUUUUAUUGGUUCAAUUUCAUGCACAGUAGUGUCAGUCGUGUCAGGUGUCGUGAUAGAUUUAGUUUUCUUAGUUCGUUUUUUGAAAGUUUUAGUAAUGAUCUUACCUUCGGGUGUUUCAACGAUUUCUUCAACAACUGGUUCCUCAGUUAUUUCGACAACUUCUUGUGGGCCUUCUGUUACCUCAACCUCUGUGACCUCCGGGACGACGCCAUCUUUUCCUUUGACCUUGCGUUUUGUUGUUUUUGUCUUUAAAAUCUCACCAGUUACUGUUUGUGUCUCCGUGAUUUCGACUGUUUCAGGCGUGUCUUCAACAACGUCUGCAAUGUCCAGCUGAGGUGUCUCUUCUAAUGGGGUGGUUGUUUCGUCUUUUAUUGGUUCAAUUUCAUGUACAAAAGUGUCAGUCGUGUCAGGUGUCGUAAUAGAUUUAGUUUUCUUAGUGCGCUUUUUGACGGUUGUAGUGAUGAUCUUACCUUCGGGUGUUUCAACGAUUUCUUCAACAACUGGUUCCACCGAUGUUUCAACAAUGUCUUGUGGGCCCUCUGUUACCUCCACCUUUGUGACCUCCUGGACGACGCCAUCUUUUCCUUUGACCUUGCGUUUUGUAGUUUUUGUCUUUCGAAUCUCACCAGUUUCUGUUUUUGUCUCCGUGACUUCCACUCUUUCUGGCGUGUCUUCAACAACGUCUGCAAUGUCCAGCUGAGGUGUCUCUUCUAAUGGGGUGGUUGUUUCGUCUUUUAUUGGUUUAGUUUCAUGUACAAAAGUGUCAGUCGUGUCAGGUGUCGUAAUAGAUUUAGUUUUCUUAGUGCGCUUUUUGACGGUUGUAGUGAUGAUCUUACCUUCGGGUGUUUCAACGAUUUCUUCAAUAACUGGUUCCUCAGAUGUUUCGACAAAGUCUUGUGGGCCUUCUGUUACCUCUACCUCUGUGA